rnacentral:rRNA from 1 species
UACGAGGGGGGCAAGCGUUGUUCGGAAUUAUUGGGCGUAAAGCGCGCGCAGGCGGUCCUUUAAGUCUGAUGUGAAAGCCCACGGCUCAACCGUGGAGGGUCAUUGGAAACUGGGGGACUUGAGUGCAGAAGAGGAAAGCGGAAUUCCUGGUGUAGCGGUGAAAUGCGCAGAUAUCAGGAAGAACACCAGUGGCGAAGGCGGCUCACUGGCCCGGAACUGACGCUGAGGUGCGAAAGCGUGGGGAGCAAACAGG